rnacentral:lncRNA from 14 species
AGGCUGAGAAAGUUGGGGCUGUUCAGGCUGGAGCAGAGAAGCUGCAUGGAGAGCUCAGAGCAGCUUCCAGUGUCUGAAGGGGCUGCAGGGAUGCUGGGAUGGACUCUUCAUUAGGGACUGCAGUGACAGGACAAGGGGUGACGGGUUCAGACUGAAACGGGAGGUUUAGAUUGGAUCUGAGGAGGAAAUUGUUUCCUGUUCAGGUGCUGAGGCACUGGAAUGGGUUGCCCAGGGAGGCUGUGAAUGCUCCAUCCCUGGCAGUGUUCAAGGCCAGGUUGGACAGAGCCUUGGGUGCCCUGGUUUAGUGUGAGGUGUCCCUGCCCAUGGCAGGGGUUGGAACUGGAUGAUCUCAAGCUCCUUUCCAACCCCACCCAUCCCAUGGUUCCACGCGGGACAAGGAUAGAGGUGAUGGGCACUGACAUCCCUCCCACCCCCCAGAGCCCCACUUUGUGCAGGUGCUGCCCUAUGGCCCCUUCGUCUACUUCUUCUUCCGGGAGGUGUCAGUUGAGCUCCGCGCCAUGGGCAAGGUGUGUGUGGGGUGAUGGGGUCCCGGCCGCAGGCUCUGGGUGCGGUGCUGGUGCUGGUGCUGACACCGGCGGUGCUGGCGCAGGUGCUGGUGUCGCGGGUGGCGCGUGUCUGCCGCAACGAUGGCGGCGGCUCCGCGCGGGUCCUGGAGCGGCGCUGGACCUCGUUCCUGAAGCUGCGGCUGCUCUGCACCCUCCCCGGAGACACCGACUUCACCUUCGAUGUCCUGGAGGCCGUGACCCCCCCCGGGCCCUGAACGGCAGAACCGCUGUGCUCGCCCUGUUCGGCACCCAGCCCAACAGGCACGGGGAGGGGGAUAUGGGACACGGGCAUGGGGAUGGGUACAAGGGGAUGGGGAUACGGGGAUGGGGAUAUGGGAAUGGAGAUACAGGGAUGGGGGAUGGGGAUAUGGGGAUAGGGAUAUGGGGAUGAGGAUAUGGGGAUGGGGACACAGGGACAUGGUCUUGCUGAGGACAUGGGGUUGGCCAAGGGGAGAUGGGGAGCAGACAUGGGGGGACAUAGAGACAUGAGGACGAUGGUGACUUGGGGUGUGCCCGUGGGAGAUGGGGCCACUGGGAUGGAGCCCUGGUGGGGCAGGACCCAGGGACAUGGAGGGGCCUUGGGCAACCCCAGCCCCCCUGGCCCCACUGCAGCAUCCCCGGCUCCGCCGUCUGUGCCUUCUACCUGGCGGACGUGGAGCGGGCGUUCGAGGGCCCCUUCGCUGAGCCCCACGGCACUGCUGGCACCUGGACCCCAGUGCCCGAGGAGCAGGUGCCCCAGCCCAGGCCUGGCUCCUGCGCCGGGAUGGGACCGGCCGCCGGCAUCAGCACCUCCAGGGACUUCCCGGAUGAGACCUUGUCCUUCGCCAAGGAGCAUCCCCUGCUGCAUGGGGCCGUGGCACCCGCGGGAGGGCGGCCCCUGUUCACCCGCACCGGCACCAGGUGCGCCAUGGGGGCUUUGGGACUGGGGGCACUGGUUUGGGUGCGGGUGCUGCAGGAACAUCCUUGUGCAAAGGCUGAUACGGUUGGCGGUGGACACGGGCGCGGGGCCAUGGAGGAACCAGACCGUGCUCUUCCUGGGUGCGGAGGACGGGCGGGUGCUGAAGGUGCUGAUGGGGACACAGCAGCCACCCAUGGGCACCCCAGCACCGGGAGACAGCGACGGGGACACUGGCUCUGAGGCGCUGCUGCUGGAGGAGAUCAGCCUCUAUGACCCCGAGCGGUGAGGGCCGGGCAGUGGGUGCUGGGGGGCUCAUACCAUGGGGCUGUGGGUGCUGGGGGGGCUCGAUAGGGUACCAUGGGGGCUGUGGGUGCUGGUGGUGCUGGGGGGCUCAGGGGCACCAUAGGUGCUAGGAGGUGGACAGCACUGAUGAGUGCAGCAGGACUGUGGGUGCUGGUACAGGUGCUGGGGGG